GAAGGUAUGAUCAUUAGAAAAAACUCCCCUUCAAGCAAGAAAACUGAGUUCAACAAAGAAACUCCGACCUCAGACCGCGAAAAUCGGGCUUGCACUCACACACUUGCAACUUUUUGUGUAUGAACACAAAGUCGAACGAGAAUCGUGGUGAAAAAUGAGAAAAGGAAAAGAAAGACAAGGCCAACAAGAGCCAAAGCGUCAUGUUGUUAUUUUUUGUUUAAGUGUUUGUGUCGCGUCGUGUCUCGUGUCGUUGUUUGUAUAAUGUUAGUUUAUUAAUUAUAAACAAUUUUAUUAAAUUAUAAACAAUAUGGAAAACAAAAAAGAUGUAAUCUCUAAUGAUGCAGAAAAAUCUAGAAGGUGAAACAUGCGAUUGGGUAUCUAAAAAAACACCAACAACAGCAGCAGCAUCAAAUGAAAUAAAAUGAAAAAAAAUGUAUUGUAUUUUAUAUUGUAUUUAUUGUGAAAAUUUCGUUUGCCAAAAUAAAAUAAAAAAUAAAACAGUUUCAGUGAAAAAAAAAUAAA